UGGAGCAUCUUUGGGAUUGGAG
rnacentral:misc_RNA from 1 species